rnacentral:rRNA from 1 species
UACGUAGGGGGCGAGCGUUGUCCGGAGUUACUGGGCGUAAAGGGCAUGCAGGCGGUCCGACACGUUUUGUGUGACAGCGGGUGGCUUAACUACCCGAGGAUACGAAAGACGGUGGGACUUGAGGACUCGAGAGGGACACGGAAUUCCGGGUGGAGUGGUGAAAUGCGUAGAGAUCCGGAGGAACACCAAAGGCGAAGGCAGUGUCCUGGCGAGUGACUGACGCUGAGGUGCGAAAGCCAGGGGAGCGAACGGG